UACGGAGGAUCCAAGCGUUAUCCGGAAUCAUUGGGUUUAAAGGGUCCGUAGGCGGGCCUGUAAGUCAGUGGUGAAAUCUCCCGCUCAACGGGGAAACGGCCAUUGAUACUGCAGGCCUUGAAUUAUUGGGAAGUAACUAGAAUAUGUAGUGUAGCGGUGAAAUGCUUAGAUAUUACAUGGAAUACCGAUUGCGAAGGCAGGUUACUAUCAAUAUAUUGACGCUGAUGGACGAAAGCGUGGGGAGCGAACAGGAUUAGAAACC
rnacentral:rRNA from 1 species